UCUUCUUCUCAUGCUCCAGGUUACAAAGGGUGAAAGGGAAGGGGACGGUUUCAGGUGCAGUGGUAACUGCCACUGCAAGAUAAGCAGUAGCUGCAUCUGAACCAUCCAAGCCACAAACAGCGGAGGAUGAGAUCGAUUUUCCCCCCUCCUUUUUUCUUCACGUGCUGCUUUUGGAGAGGGAAAUGCAGAACAACGCAGAAGGCAUGCUCUACUUUCUCCAGAAAUUUCAAGAAAGAAGCUACUCACGCAAGCAACAACUCGAAAAUACAACUUGUGUAGUAAACCAAUCUGGGCUCCAAUUAACAGGGCAUGGAAAGGCAAACAAGAGUGAUUCCAACGCGAGAAAGCAUAGCAGGGAGGGAAUGCUGGGGGAUUGGAGCAGGAUUACAGAGGAGCAGGACGCGGACCAGCGCAACGUCCCUGUUGCCGCCGGCGAGAUGUCGCGCUGAUCUCCCUGACCGGUACCUCGGCGGCGUCCUCCCGGGUCUCCUUUCAGCGCGACCGCGCCGCAUCACGCUCAAAGCGACACCACCUCGCCGUAGUUCACGUCCGCACCCCCGAGUAGCUCGCCGGUCAUCGCUUCCGAGCUCCGUCUCCACAAAGAAAAUGGCGCCAAGGCCUCUGUGGUCACUGGCUUUUCCCUCCAAAAGCAGCGGCUGACAGCAUCAGGUGAAGAGAAGAGGAGGGGAAAAGCAUGGCUCUCAUCCUAGCCGUCGUUUGUCACUUAGAUGGUUGAGAUGUGGCUAUUGCUUACCUUACAGUAGCAGUUACCACUGCACCUGAUCUUCCC
rnacentral:lncRNA from 1 species